rnacentral:rRNA from 1 species
GAUGAACGCUGGCGGCGUGCCUAAUACAUGCAAGUCGAGCGAACAGACGAGGAGCUUGCUCUACUGGCGUUAGCGGCGGACGGGUGAGUAACGCGUGGAUAACCUACCUAUAAGACUGGGACAACUUCGGGAAACCGGAGUUACGGCCGGGUAAUAUAUUGAACCGCAUGGUUCAAUAGUGAAAGACGGUUUUGCUGUCACUUAUAGAUGUAUCCGCGCCGCAGUCGCUAUUUGGUAAGGUAACGGCUUACCAAGGCAACCAUGCGUAGCCGACCUGAGAGCGUGAACCGCCCCACGGGAACUGAGACACGGUCCAGACUCCUACGGGAGGCAGCGGUACCGACUCUUCCGCGAUGGGCGAAAGCCUGACGGAGCAACGCCGCGUGAGUGCUGAAGGUCUUCGGAUCGUAAAACGCCGUUAUUAGUGAAGAACAAAUGUGCAAGUAACGAUGCACGUCUUGACGGUACCUAAUCAGAAAGCCACGGCUAACUACGUG